UACGUAGGGUGCAGGCGUUAAUCGGAAUUACUGGGCGUAAAGCGUGCGCAGGCGGUUUGCUAAGUCGAACGUGAAAUCCCCGGGCUCAACCCGGGAACUGCGUCCGAUACUGGAAGGCUUGAAUCCGGGAGAGGGAUGCGGAAUUCCAGGUGUAGCGGUGAAAUGCGUAGAUAUCUGGAGGAACACCGGUGGCGAAGGCGGCAUCCUGGACCGGUAUUGACGCUGAGGCGCGAAAGCCAGGGGAGCAAACGGG
rnacentral:rRNA from 1 species